UACGAAGGGGGCUAGCGUUGCUCGGAAUCACUGGGCGUAAAGCGCACGUAGGCGGAUCUUUAAGUCGGGGGUGAAAUCCUGGAGCUCAACUCCAGAACUGCCUUUGAUACUGUCGAUCUGGAGUAUGGAAGAGGUGAGUGGAAUUCCGAGUGUAGAGGUGAAAUUCGUAGAUAUUCGGAGGAACACCAGUGGCGAAGGCGGCUCACUGGCUCGUUACUGACGCUCAGGCGCGACAGCGUGGGGAUCAAACAGG
rnacentral:rRNA from 1 species